AUUGAACGCUGGCGGCAUGCCUUACACAUGCAAGUCGAGCGGCAGCGCGGGGGCAACCUGGCGGCGAGCGGCGAACGGGUGAGUAAUACAUCGGAACGUGCCCAGACGUGGGGGAUAACUACUCGAAAGAGUGGCUAAUACCGCAUACGAUCUACGGAUGAAAGCGGGGGGAUCGCAAGACCUCGCGCGUCUGGAGCGGCUGAUGGCAGAUUAGGUAGUUGGUGGGAUAAAAGCCUACCAAGCCAACGAUCUGUAGCUGGUCUGAGAGGAUGAUCAGCCACACUGGGACUGAGACACGGCCCAGACUCCUACGGGAGGCAGCAGUGGGGAAUUUUGGACAAUGGGCGAAAGCCUGAUCCAGCCAUUCCGCGUGCAGGAUGAAGGCCCUCGGGUUGUAAACUGCUUUUGUACAGAACGAAAAAGCUCUGGUUAAUACCUGGAGUCCAUGACGGUACUGUAAGAAUAAGCACCGGCUAACUACGU
rnacentral:rRNA from 1 species